rnacentral:rRNA from 1 species
AUUGAACGCUGGCGGCAUGCCUUACACAUGCAAGUCGAACGGCAGCGCGGGGCAACCUGGCGGCGAGCGGCGAACGGGUGAGUAAUGUAUCGGAACGUAUCCUUAAGUGGGGGACAACUAGUCGAAAGACUAGCUAAUACCGCAUACGAUCGAGAGAUGAAAGUGGGGGACCGCAAGGCCUCACGCUUUUGGAGCGGCCGAUAUCCGAUUAGCUAGUUGGUGAGGUAAAGGCUCACCAAGGCAUCGAUCAGUAGCUGGUCUGAGAGGACGACCAGCCACACUGGAACUGAGACACGGUCCAGACUCCUACGGGAGGCAGCAGUGGGGAAUUUUGGACAAUGGGGGCAACCCUGAUCCAGCAAUGCCGCGUGAGUGAAGAAGGCCUUCGGUUGUAACUGCUUUGUCAGGGAAGAAAUACUUCUGGCGUAAUAUCCCGGGAGGAGUGACGGUA